rnacentral:lncRNA from 1 species
UGCAUUCCUCCGGUUGACAAGGGUUUGACGAGUCCUGCAAAGCUCCUUUAUAUUAAUCAGCCACCGAGGGCUUUCCUCCCUCUGUCUGCAAAAGAAGCGCCCGCUGCCUCUGCUGUUUGUAAACACGGGCGCAUUUCUCUGAACGGGGUCUGUAGCUCGCCCCUUCAGGAUUACCCUGCUCUGCCUUUGGCCUCUGAGGGACAUAUGAAGUUGGUGGUCCCAGGAUUUCAGAGUGAGCAGAAUGAAAUUGCUGAGGUGCGAGAGUGAGAGCACAGAAGGCAGAUAGAGAGGAGGGAGAUGACUUGUUUGUCUGGUUUUACUAGGUCAGCUUUGGGUGACACUGCAGGGCACAUGGCUUUGAGCAGACAAACUUAGGGCAGGACUUUAC